UACGUAGGUGGCAAGCGUUAUCCGGAAUUACUGGGCGUAAAGCGCACGCAGGCGGCUUGUCAAGUUCGACGUGAAAGCUCCCGGCUUAACUGGGAGAGGUCGUUGAAAACUGAUGAGCUUGAGGCAAUGAGAGGGGUGUAGAAUUCCCGGUGUAGUGGUGGAAUGCGUAGAUAUCGGGAGGAAUACCAGUGGCGAAAGCGGCACCCUAGCAUACGCCUGACGCUCAGGUGCGAAAGCGUGGGGAGCGAACGGGAUUAGAAACCCCCGUAGUCC
rnacentral:rRNA from 1 species